rnacentral:rRNA from 1 species
CCUACGGGGGACAGCAGUGAGGAAUAUUGGUCAAUGGACGAGAGUCUGAACCAGCCAAGUAGCGUGAAGGAUGACUGCCCUAUGGGUUGUAAACUUCUUUUAUAAAGGAAUAAAACGAGGCACGUGUGCCUUUUUGCAUGUACUUUAUGAAUAAGGAUCGGCUAACUCCGUGCCAGCAGCCGCGGUAAUACGGAGGAUCCGAGCGUUAUCCGGAUUUAUUGGGUUUAAAGGGAGCGUAGAUGGGUUGUUAAGUCAGUUGUGAAAGUUUGCGGCUCAACCGUAAAAUUGCAAUUGAUACUGGCAGUCGUGAGUACAGUUGAGGUAAGCGGAAUUCGUGGUGUAGCGGUGAAAUGCUUAGAUAUCACGAAGAACCCCGAUUGCGAAGGCAGCUUACUAAACUGUGACUGACAUUGAUGCUCGAAAGUGUGGGUAUCAAACAGGAUUAGAUACCCGUGUAGUC